CAACCCGAGCGCUACCUAGAAAACCAGUUGAAAGAAAAAUAGGCAAAUAAAGCUACCCCCAAGAGUAUUUUGAGUCGUCAAGCGUCCCGGGGUUUUUAAGCCUCUCUGAUGAGGCCCCGGGAAGGCAGGCGUGAGGGGAAGGAGUGGCUGACUCAUGGUUUUUAAACCCCUGUGGUGAGCAAGUGAGAGCUCUCACCUGAGGCAGUUGCCACCUGGAAGGUGGGGAAAUAUCCUGCCUCCCCGGGCCAGAUCUGGCCACCGGUCAGCCCUCCAAACUGAUCUUCGUGUGGAGCAGUCCCUGGACAUUGCUGUUACCUGAUGGUUACCUCAGCUUUUCUUGUUCCCAACUGCGUUUUGCGUCUUGGCCUCCCUGCCCUCCCAAAUAAUGGGAGAAAGGCAGUCCUGGCCUCAUGCGUAGAUCAAAGGCAGUGAGGACUGCUCUGUAAAAGGGUUUCGGGAAGCAGGCUGCAUGUGUUGGAGGGCAUACACUGAAUAAAAGCCACAAGGCCCAGAACACAGACAGAAAACCUAGGCUUCCCUCUGGGGCAGCUCUUUGUACCCCAGUUACUAGCUUAGAUUCAAACUCCCGCACACUUCUGCUCUGUGCCUUAAGAUCUCCUUAAGACAAGGAAAGGUCACCUUUGUUCUCUUCCUCAUAGAUAGAGCAAAACUAUUUUCUUCAGUGCCUCACAAACUAUGAAAAUACAUUGGUGUGCAAUAAGGCGAGGCUAAGGGGGGAAGCUUAACGCCAGAGGCACUAAUACAGGCCUUCUCGUAUUCUCUACGCUUCAUCUGCCUCAGGGCUUGGAGUUCGGGUCUUAAUUAUUUCCCCAGAUCAGCAGCAAGUGCUCCUCACAGAGAUGGCAGCAAUCUCACCAAGUGUUCAGCUAAACGCCAAAAGGAAGAUUUGAGUGAAUAAAUUGGUUUCCUCUGGCCACUACAAACAUUUCCUGAACUUAAUGAAUGAUGCAUUAUGAGGAGUAGCUGGUGGAAAAUGACAAGACUGGAGCUAUUCAGCAAUUCCCGUUCUACAUCUUCCCAGCGCCCUCUGCUGCUACCAAGUGGUUAUUGCACUUGUCUACUCCAGCUCCUUCAAAUAAGAAGCCACUCACUCACUGGCAGCAUCUGAAGUUAAUACUGCUGAAGCAUAAAACAUCGGGACACGGGAGAAGCGGCUCUACAGGGAUACCGAAAUCCCCCCCUGCCAAGCAAGCACCACAGUGAGCCGCUCUGAACAAUCCACACGGGAAAGAGCAGCCGGGAUUAUUAAAAACCCGCUGCCCAGGCAGCUGGAGCCCCGACACAUCCCUUGCACCGCUCUGCAAGCGAGGAGCCCACAGCACCACCAGCAGGGCGGGGCCAGCCACCAGCUUCCCCCCUUCUGGGGUGCAGCUUCCGAAGCAGCAGGUAACCCCAAUUCCCCACCAUCCCUCCGGCCCGACCACCACACGGCGGGAGGGCAGGACGGGGCUCCCCAGGACCCCCCCAAGCCCCCCGUGUGCGC